rnacentral:rRNA from 1 species
AACGUAGGAGACAAACGUUAUCCGGAGUUACUGGGCGUAAAGGGCGUGUAGGUGGUUUUGUAAGUCUGGCGUGAAAUUUUUCGGCUUAACCGGGAAAGGUCGUCGGAUACUGCAGGACUAGAGGACGGUAGAGGCGUGUGGAAUUCCGGGGUGUAGUGGUGAAAUGCGUAGAGAUCCGGAGGAACACCAGUGGCGAAGGCGACACGCUGGGCCGUACCUGACACUGAUGCGCGACAGCAUGGGGAGCAAACAGG